GUUAAUCCAGUAACUAAUGAUCUCAUUCCAAAAGGAAAAACCUCUGAUGAAAAAGCAUUAACUGGCUAAGUCUCUGCAAUCUACUCUUCCUGAAUCCAAAUCUGCAACAACUCAAAUUCUAUUCAUCUUCCAGGAGAUUACAGCUUUAACACAAGCUCAGCUACAAAUGAAACUUCUGUUUGCCAAAAGAUCUGAAUCACAAUCAGUGCCUUCGGAAAUUUCAGACAAUAACUAUGCUAGGCACCUACAGAACAGAGAACACAACCUUCAAAUGCGUGCUUCUGUGUCUCAGAGACAGAGAGAGAGAGAUAUUAAAGCAGAAAAAAUGAAAACAAGCAAGCCUUGAAGAAUCACUUAAGAUUACUGAGAGGAAUCAGUCUUUGGAGCAGGAUGAUGACUUAUAACCAUGUUUCACCAUCGCGGGCUGCGGUCACAUCGGGGUUGCAGUCGCAUCGCGGUCACAGUUGUUUUACAUCUAUCACG
rnacentral:lncRNA from 1 species